UCCCUUGUGGCUCAGACGGUGAAGCAUCUGCCUGCAAUGCAGGAGACCCAGGUUUGAUCCCUGGGUUGGGAA
rfam:Ovis aries breed Texel chromosome 3, whole genome shotgun sequence.